CAGCGCCUCAGGCGAGCGGCCGCGGCCCCGGCUGCCCCGAGGGGGCGAGCGCCGGCGGCUUCCUCCGCCUCAGCCGCCGCCUGCCUCCGCGGGAUCUGGGGCCGCAGACCCGGCGUGCAGCCGGGGUGGCCUGAGGAGACUCCGGGCCCUGUGGGGGCGGCGGGCGGCGCGAGGAGCCACCCCCGGCCCAGCCGGCGCGCCUGGGAAAACGCGGUGCCCCAGAAACGACUGCGGGGAAUUGCAAACGUCUAGACACCGGAGCGCCUCGAGCAGUGCACCCCUGGGACCUAGCCCUCGGUUUCCACAGUAUUCGGGCAGUGUGCAGCCGUUCCUUGAAAGAUUUUUGAAGAAAAACACAGUUUUGCUUUCUUCAUGGUUGGGUUGUGCCACUCAGGCUUUGACCGGGUCCUCGCAGGGCAUUCGAAAUAUCGAGUCCCCACCCUCCUCCAUUUCGGGUUGAUUUCACCUUUUAAGGAACUUGAAUACGCUCGUGAUGGAAGAGCUUCAUGUAUUUUUCUCAUCGAAGAUAUUUCGUCCUGCGUGCCUUUUUACUCUGUGUUAGGAAUGGAAUCGGUUCAUCCGCGCUGUAAUGUAUCUCAGACUUCGUUCCUUUGUAUGGCUGGAUGCAUACCUACAUACGUCAGAGCGGUUAUAUAAACAUUUGUUUAUCCACUGAUGGACACUAGGUUGCUGCCAUUUUUUGCCCAAGGGUCCCAUAUGUGGUCAAGCUGACAAGUGCGGGCAGUUCUGCCUCUGAUUCUCCUUGCCGCUCACUUUCACAGCUCCAUUGCAAACCAUGAAUGCCUCUUUUUUUUUUCUAACUGGCUCCCUGGUUUUUGAUUUUAUUUCCCUCUGUCU
ensembl:lncRNA